GGUGUAAAAGAUAAAUCUUAUUCUAUCUGUUCUUCAUGAGUUUUAGAUAAUUUUAGUUGUAUUUCUUUGUAAUUUUGUGUUGUACAAAGAUUAAUUUAACAUUUUCUCUGGAAGUAUUAAUUUAGAAAGAUAAUAUGCUUCAUUGGUGUUGUGUUUUGAAGUGUGAAAUGCAAAGUAAUUGUGAUAAAGUCAAGAUAAAGUUCACUUUUAAACUGAACUAAAUAAGGUAUCUGAGAGACAACAAUGGUUAAAUGCAAUACAAUGUACAGGUUUUACUAGCGAAAUGAAAAUUUUCCUGUCCUGUCUGCUGUAAUCAUUUUAUAUCUGGAAAACCAGCCGACUUAAUCGAUAAUAACAAUCUCCAGAUUGGGUUCCUUCAAUAAAUAUGGGCUAUAAACACAAUGAAAUAAGUUCCCCAAAAUCUAAAAUGGAGUGCUAUCAAA
rnacentral:lncRNA from 1 species